UUAGUUUUUCUCAAAUCUUUAUUUUCUUGUUCUGGUAUAGUGCAAUAGCUAUGUUCAAUGCUGAAAGGCAGAAGAAAGGUCGGAGUUCAGUCUUGUGGAAAAAUUUGGCAGGUAUUCCUCCCCAACCCAGUAACAAGGAGUGCGGGUACUUUGUCAUGCGUUACAUGAGAGACAUCAUUGAGGAUAAAGACUUGACAUUGUUUCCAAGAAAGUGGGAGAGGAGAGGCAACAGUCAAUAUACCCAAGCAGACAUAGAUAUGAUGCGAAAUGAAUGGGCAAA